rnacentral:rRNA from 1 species
AAUGAACGUUGGCGGCGUGGAUUAGGCAUGCAAGUCGUGCGGGAUCCUUUGGAUUGAAGCUUCGGCCGAUUUCUAAGGGUGAGAGCGGCGAAAGGGAGAGUAACGCGUGGAUACCUACCUCGGGACCCGGGAUAGCGUCGGGAAACUGGCGGUAAUACCGGAUAAUGUCUCCGGACCAAAGGUGUGAUUCCGUCUUGAGAUGGGUCCGCGUCCUAUUAGCUUGUUGGUGGGGUAAUGGCCUACCAAGGCUACGAUGGGUACCGGGUGUGAGAGCAUGGCCCGGCUCACUGGGACUGAGACACUGCCCAGACACCUACGGGUGGCUGCAGUCGAGAAUCUUUGUCAAUGGACGAAAGUCUGAACAAGCGACGCCGCGUGCAGGAUGAAGGCCUUCGGGUUGUAAACCGCUGUCAGAGGGGAGCAAAUACAUAAGGGCACUCUCUUAUGUUUGAGCGGUCCUCAGAGGAAGUACGGGCUAAGUUCGUGCCAGCAGCCGCGGUAACACGAACCGUACAAACGUUAUUCGGAAUCACUGGGCUUAAAGAGUUCGUAGGCGGCAUGGUAGGUGGGGUGUGAAAUCCCUCGGCUCAACCGAGGAACUGCGCCCCAAACCAUCAUGC